CCUACGGGGGCAGCAGUGGGGAAUAUUGAACAAUGGGCGAAAGCCUGAUCCAGCCAUGCCGCGUGUGUGAAGAAGGCCUUCGGGUUGUAAAGCACUUUCAGUGGGGAAGAAAGCCUUGGGGCUAAUACCCUCGAGGAAGGACAUCACCCACAGAAGAAGCACCGGCUAACUCCGUGCCAGCAGCCGCGGUAAUACGGAGGGUGCGAGCGUUAAUCGGAAUUACUGGGCGUAAAGCGCGCGUAGGCGGUCUGAUAAGCCGGUUGUGAAAGCCCCGGGCUCAACCUGGGAACGGCAUCCGGAACUGUCAGGCUAGAGUGCAGGAGAGGAAGGUAGAAUUCCCGGUGUAGCGGUGAAAUGCGUAGAGAUCGGGAGGAAUACCAGUGGCGAAGGCGGCCUUCUGGACUGACACUGACGCUGAGGUGCGAAAGCGUGGGUAGCAAACAGGAUUAGAUACCCCUGUAGU
rnacentral:rRNA from 1 species